CCAUCCAAACAGUGCAAAAAGCUCAGGCGUUCGUUGCAACAAAAGUGGGGCUGGGGAGUUCUUGGUGCUUUGAAAGGUUUUAAUUGCUAUGGAAAAAACCCUUUCAAAGAUUUGCCCCCUCAACGUGGGCCCCUUGGAAACUUUUCUUAGGGGAACUGUAAAAUAUUUAUACAGCUAGCAACAUUGUUUAAAAAAAAAAAAAGCAAGAAGGGAACUGUACUGAAUGAAAAGCAGACUCACUUGGAGAUUCCUGCAGAUUUGGGGAGCCGUGAGGGGAAGACAUUGCUGGUUCAGUCCUGGAACACAGGAUUCACCCACGUCAGAACCAUAAGAAGCACAGAGUUCAUGGAUUCGUGGCCUGCACGGUCACGCAGUCCUGCAUCAAAAGCAUCUGUAAAGAGGAGCUCACCUGGCUAAUUACAGUUCCCAGACAGCACUGGACUCCUGUGAACUUCUGCUUCACUGCAUUCUCAAUACUUCAAUCAACAAUGGCUUUAUUAAAGAAAGGGCUGAAGAGAUAACCGCUCUCUCUUCAUCAACUCCCCAAAUAUUUUCAUUUCCUCCCACUGCUUUAUCUUACUCUGAUGAAGCUAUGUGCUAACAAAAAACUCACAGAUGUCAAUCGCACGGCCUCUUGGGAUCCAACCUACACACUGAUGCCGUCAACCCUGUAACCCUGUAGAAAGGGGGAGAGAAUCCAAAGCUCAACAACCCACAAAGUGGAUAAUUAACACCUGAGAGAUCCAAAUUUGGCUACGUCGUCGCGGUGGCUGAAUUACUAAGGGCAAGAUGAGACAGAGCCCCAAACUUUUCUACAGGGGAGACUGGCUGUACUACCGCCAUAGCCUCCUCGAUCAGGAGGGACCCUCUUGUCUCAAGACAGACUUAAUUGCCAUCAUUCAAUUAACAUGCUUUCACUAAUUAUAUAAGCUCAGAGAUGACAGUUCAACAGCAGCAGCACCGAGAGUAAGCCAAUUUCUUUUCAUUUUUCAACUUAGUCUUAAUUAUAAGUGAAUUGCAUUAUUUCCUCUCAUAUCUUGCCUUCAGCUGUCCUGUUGUGGAAUACUAUCAUAUAAUUUAAAGACUCUGUGUCUUUGGCCAAAAAAAAAA